rnacentral:rRNA from 1 species
CCUACGGGCGGCAGCAGUGGGGAAUAUUGGACAAUGGGGGGAACCCUGAUCCAGCCAUGCCGCGUGUGUGAAGAAGGCCCUCGGGUUGUAAAGCACUUUCAGUGAGGAAGAACGCCUGGUGGUUAAUACCCAUCAGGAAUGACAUCACUCACAGAAGAAGCACCGGCUAACUCCGUGCCAGCAGCCGCGGUAAUACGGAGGGUGCGAGCGUUAAUCGGAAUUACUGGGCGUAAAGCGCGCGUAGGUGGCUUGAUAAGCCGGUUGUGAAAGCCCCGGGCUCAACCUGGGAACGGCAUCCGGAACUGUCAAGCUAGAGUGCAGGAGAGGAAGGUAGAAUUCCCGGUGUAGCGGUGAAAUGCGUAGAGAUCGGGAGGAAUACCAGUGGCGAAGGCGGCCUUCUGGACUGACACUGACACUGAGGUGCGAAAGCGUGGGUAGCAAACAGGAUUAGAUACCCGUGUAGUC